AUCGUAAAUAUGGGUUUAGUAGGUUUCUUUUUCUUGAUAAAGUUACUGAUGAAAGUCUCAAGAUUCAACAGGGGUAUGCUCAACAGAUGAAGAGAACAAUGAAGCUCAUCUUGCUUUGGGGACUACCCUGUUUCAUAGCGGAAUGUGCAUACAAGAUAUGAUCAGCAUUGAAGAUGUAUUGAAGGAGUUUACUUCUAAGAAAUGCGGUAAACUUGGGAAAUUGCUUAAGGAAAGUGGUAAUCAUGGGGUUUAGAUGAAACACAAAGAUUCUAGAGCACCGAAGCUAACCGUCAAGCAUGGCGUAAAAUUAUA